rnacentral:lncRNA from 1 species
GUCCUGGUGCCAACAUACCUCCCUUCUUGUUAUAAAGAGAAGGGAAGGAAAAGGGAGGGGAAAGCCAAUGGUGAAAAGGGAACGAGAAUGCCGCAUCUCUUAAACUGCUUCCUGCUGUCUAGGGGCAUAGUCAAUUUCAGGGCAUAGCUGGCUUUCACCAUCAGGAUCCACGUGAUAAUCUAUGGACAGGGGCUCUUCUUUGGGCAGCGGCUGCUAAUCCUGUAACAGGAGCUGAUUAAUAGUUCAGUUAGAAAUUUUUUGUAUUUGCCAUUGAAGGAAUGUAGAAACAAGAUUAAUGAGGCAGAGAUCAAAUAACACCAGGAAGAUGACUAGGAAAGGUGUUAUGAAAGGGAGUAUCCACUUCCAAAUAGGAUUUUCCUAAGUCCCAGAACUGGAGGUCUCACAGUCUCUGAAGUUCUUUAUGUCUGACUGUAGCUCCUGGAUUUUAUUUCUCACUAUCCCAGAUUGGUUGACGUAGAAACAGCAUUCUUCUUGGAGAAACAGGCAAAGACUACCUUCUUUAGCUGUCAGGACAUCUAGCCCCCGACGGUUUUGAAACACCACAGCUGCCAAAGAAUCAGACUCUUCCUGGAUAUUACAUAGAGGGAAAAAGAACGAGUCAGGGCAGGAAGAUGUGAACAACUUUGAGCAGAGAAUCGAUGCAAAAGCAAGAAAAAUUUUAUUGUUCCAGCAUGCUGGUAUUGCCCUGCACAUAAAGGAGAGUGAGAGAACAGCCCAUUUGAGAGCUAUUUCAUCAGGACCUGAGAAAGCUUAGCCCUCAGAAGUGCUUAUAGUGAGACCACACAAUGACAUGCAACAUCACUCAGACUCGCUCUCUUACUGCAGACCCGAGGCACUGGCCCAAGCAUUCCACCAGGCUCCACCCAAACCCACCAGCUGGACGAGGAACCACGGGACGUUAGAAUCAGAGUAACUUUGGCCAACAAUCUGAGACACUUGGGAGAAAAUUCAUUCUAAAUCUAACAGCUUCCUGCUCUCAGGAAGGCCUCUGGGCUUCCGGUGCCUCUGGUCCUCCUUCCCGGCUCUUCUGUGGAGGCUAGCUUCCUCCAAGCUGACCCCGAGGGAGCCGCCUUCUCGUAGGUGGAAAGCGAAGAGAAGAGAGCGGGUAAGCAGUGGAGACACAUUGGCUGUACUCAGGACCUGUACCAGAGGUGGCAGGAGGACACCACCGAGCCCUGCUCCACCCAUCGCAGCCUCGAGACCCUCUGCGCGGGGAUGCUGACCCCUGCUGGCCACCUGAGAGAUUGCAGCGUGGCCGACUCCCAAGGGGCGGCAAGUGUAAGGGAAAAAGAGUGAGAGGAGCCGUAAGGGCUAUGGAGCCCAAAUCAGCAUGCCUCUAGGACCUACCUGAGCCUCCAGAAGACCCCUCAACAGGAACCGUUGUCCGAACCAACCAACUCCAAACCUAAACCUCAGAGGCCUCCUCAUGCAGACAGAUUGCUGACCUAUCUCUGGGGUAGUCAGCUGAAAUACCCCAGAGAUAUUCACGGCCUAAUCCCAGGAAGUUUCUUUAAAUGGCAAAAGAAACCUAGAGUGUGUUACCCUCGAUUAUUUAGGUAGAUUCUACAUGUAAUCAGGUAUAUCACCAAAGGGGAAGUGAGGUAAAGGAAUAUUUAUUUCACUACAGAACAGAAGGCAAGCCAUCUUGCAGGAGGACCUGAGGAGAGAAGGAGAGAGUCAGGAGAGAACAGAUUCCCUCUACAGUGCCCAGAGUCUCCCCUGACUGAUUUGGACCCAAUGAAAUUCCAAACUCUGGUGUCAAGAACUUUAAAAGAAUAAAUGUGUGCUGUUUUGAGGUA